CAGAGCCAGCUGAGAGUCUGUCCAGGGGAGAACCAAAACCAGAGAAGCUUCUUUUCUUCUUUGUUUCAAUCACAUCAUUCUCCAGAGACACAAGUUCAUCAAGAAAUACCUGGUUUUCUGUGAAUCCACGGUGAGGACAAGGUGAACUUUUCAAUGGAGACUCUAAAUUUUGCAUGAAAACAUUUUGAAAACUAUAAGAUAAUAUGGAAAGAUUAACUACAUGGUAUAAAAAUGAUUAUUUCUGAGCUGAAGGCAAGUGUUUGAUGACAAGUCCUUCCAAGGAAAGUAAAGCUUAUACUCAACCACCACCUAGGGAAUCUGGGGCCGUUCAUAGAGACAAUCAGCAAAGCUUAUGUUCAACAAUCAAGAGGAUACAUAACAGUUUGACAUGAUACAGAUAAUCUUGAUAUUUCAAUGAGUGACAUUUGAACAGGGUGUUAAGUUUGUGUCUAGUUUUCAUUGAUGAGAGAAGCAACCAGAUGCUUGAGACACUUUCCUGCUAGAAAGCAGAGACUUGGACGCUGGAGUCUCUUCUUUAUUGGUGCUGCAAUUCCACUGCCUAUGGUGCAAUCGGCUCCACAAACAAGCGAACUAAGUGUGGCUUUGGCACUUAUAACUUCAGAAGUGCGGAUUAGUUUUGGAUCCUCAUAAAGUCAAAUACUAGA